AUGUUGUUACCUGUAUCAAUACUAGAGGGUUUGGUCUCAGUCAAUAGGUUGUUACCUGUAUCAACACUAGAAGGUUCAGUCAACAGGUUGUUACUUGUAUCAACACUAGAAGGUUUGGUCAAUAGGUUGUUACCUGUAUCAACACUAGAAGGUUCAGUCAAUAUGUUGUUACCUGUAUCAAUACUAGAGGGUUUGGUCUCAGUCAAUAGGUUGUUACCUGUAUCAACACUAGAAGGUUCAGUCAAUAGGUUGUUACCUGUAUCAACACUAGAAGGUUCAGUCAAUGGGUUGUUACCUGUAUCAAUACUAGAGGGUUUGGUCUCAGUCAAUAGGUUGUUACCUGUAUCAACACUAGAAGGUUCAGUCAAUAGGUUGUUACCUGUAUCAACACUAGAAGGUUCAGUCAAUAGGUUGUUACCUGUAUCAACACUAGAAGGUUCAGUCAAUAGGUUGUUACCUGUAUCAACACUAGAAGGUUCAGUCAAUAGGUUGUUACCUGUAUCAACACUAGAAGGUUCAGUCAAUAGGUUGUUACCUGUAUCAACACUAGAAGAUUUAGUCUCAGUCAAUUGGUUGUUACCUGUAUCAACACUAGAAGGUUCAGUCAAUAGGUUGUUACCUGUAUCAACACUAGAAGGUUCAGUCAAUAGGUUGUUACCUGUAUCAACACUAGAAGGUUCAGUCAAUUGGUUGUUACCUGUAUCAACACUAGAAGGUUCAGUCAAUUGGUUGUUACCUGUAUCAACACUAGAAGGUUUGGUCAAUAGGUUGUUACCUGUAUCAACACUAGAAGGUUCAGUCAAUAGGUUGUUACCUGUAUCAACACUAGAAGGUUCAGUCAAUAGGUUGUUACCUGUAUCAACACUAGAAGGUUCAGUCAAUAAGUUGUUACCUGUAUCAACACUAGAAGGUUUAGUCUCAGUCAAUUGGUUGUUACCUGUAUCAACACUAGAAGGUUCAGUCAAUAAGUUGUUACCUGUAUCAACACUAGAAGGUUUAGUCUCAGUCAAUUGGUUGUUACCUGUAUCAACACUAGAAGGUUCAGUCAAUAGGUUGUUACCUGUAUCAACACUAGAAGGUUCAGUCAAUAGGUUGUUACCUGUAUCAACACUAGAAGGUUCAGUCAACAGGUUGUUACCUGUAUCAACACUAGAGGGUUUGGUCUCAGUCAAUAGGUUGUUACCUGUAUCAACACUAGAAGAUUCAGUCAAUAGGUUGUUACCUGUAUCAACACUAGAAGGUUCAGUCAAUAGGUUGUUACCUGUAUCAACACUAGAAGGUUCAGUCAACAGGUUGUUACCUGUAUCAACACUAGAAGGUUUGGUCAAUAGGUUGUUACCUGUAUCAACACUAGAAGGUUCAGUCAAUAGGUUGUUACCUGUAUCAACACUAGAAGAUUUAGUCUCAGUCAAUUGGUUGUUACCUGUAUCAACACUAGAAGGUUUGGUCUCAGUCAAUAGGUUGUUACCUGUAUCAACACUAGAAGGUUCAGUCAAUAGGUUGUUACCUGUAUCAACACUAGAAGGUUUGGUCAAUAGGUUGUUACCUGUAUCAACACUAGAAGGUUCAGUCAAUAUGUUGUUACCUGUAUCAAUACUAGAGGGUUUGGUCUCAGUCAAUAGGUUGUUACCUGUAUCAACACUAGAAGGUUCAGUCAAUAGGUUGUUACCUGUAUCAACACUAGAAGGUUCAGUCAAUGGGUUGUUACCUGUAUCAAUACUAGAGGGUUUGGUCUCAGUCAAUAGGUUGUUACCUGUAUCAACACUAGAAGGUUCAGUCAAUAGGUUGUUACCUGUAUCAACACUAGAAGGUUCAGUCAAUAGGUUGUUACCUGUAUCAACACUAGAAGGUUCAGUCAAUAGGUUGUUACCUGUAUCAACACUAGAAGGUUCAGUCAAUAGGUUGUUACCUGUAUCAACACUAGAAGGUUCAGUCAAUAGGUUGUUACCUGUAUCAACACUAGAAGAUUUAGUCUCAGUCAAUUGGUUGUUACCUGUAUCAACACUAGAAGGUUCAGUCAAUAGGUUGUUACCUGUAUCAACACUAGAAGGUUCAGUCAAUAGGUUGUUACCUGUAUCAACACUAGAAGGUUCAGUCAAUUGGUUGUUACCUGUAUCAACACUAGAAGGUUCAGUCAAUUGGUUGUUACCUGUAUCAACACUAGAAGGUUUGGUCAAUAGGUUGUUACCUGUAUCAACACUAGAAGGUUUAGUCUCAGUCAAUUGGUUGUUACCUGUAUCAACACUAGAAGGUUCAGUCAAUAAGUUGUUACCUGUAUCAACACUAGAAGGUUUAGUCUCAGUCAAUUGGUUGUUACCUGUAUCAACACUAGAAGGUUCAGUCAAUAGGUUGUUACCUGUAUCAACACUAGAAGGUUCAGUCAAUAGGUUGUUACCUGUAUCAACACUAGAAGGUUCAGUCAACAGGUUGUUACCUGUAUCAACACUAGAGGGUUUGGUCUCAGUCAAUAGGUUGUUACCUGUAUCAACACUAGAAGAUUCAGUCAAUAGGUUGUUACCUGUAUCAACACUAGAAGGUUCAGUCAAUAGGUUGUUACCUGUAUCAACACUAGAAGGUUCAGUCAACAGGUUGUUACCUGUAUCAACACUAGAAGGUUUGGUCAAUAGGUUGUUACCUGUAUCAACACUAGAAGGUUCAGUCAAUAGGUUGUUACCUGUAUCAACACUAGAAGAUUUAGUCUCAGUCAAUUGGUUGUUACCUGUAUCAACACUAGAAGGUUUGGUCUCAGUCAAUAGGUUGUUACCUGUAUCAACACUAGAAGGUUCAGUCAAUAGGUUGUUACCUGUAUCAACACUAGAAGAUUUAGUCUCAGUCAAUUGGUUGUUACCUGUAUCAACACUAGAAGGUUUGGUCUCAGUCAAUAGGUUGUUACCUGUAUCAACACUAGAAGGUUCAGUCAAUAGGUUGUUACCUGUAUCAACACUAGAAGAUUUAGUCUCAGUCAAUUGGUUGUUACCUGUAUCAACACUAGAAGGUUCAGUCAAUAGGUUGUUACCUGUAUCAACACUAGAAGGUUCAGUCAAUAGGUUGUUACCUGUAUCAACACUAGAAGAUUUAGUCUCAGUCAAUUGGUUGUUACCUGUAUCAACACUAGAAGAUUUAGUCUCAGUCAAUAGGUUGUUACUUGUAUCAACACUAGAAGGUUCAGUCAAUAGGUUUGUUACCUGUAUCGACACUAGAAGGUUCAGUCAAUAG
ensembl:lncRNA